rnacentral:rRNA from 1 species
GCAGGCCUAACACAUGCAAGUCGAAUGGUAACAGGAAACAGCUUGCUGUUUCGCUGACGAGUGGCGGACGGGUGAGUAAUGUCUGGGAAACUGCCUGAUGGAGGGGGAUAACUACUGGAAACGGUAGCUAAUACCGCAUAACGUCGCAAGACCAAAGAGGGGGACCUUCGGGCCUCUUGCCAUCAGAUGUGCCCAGAUGGGAUUAGCUAGUAGGUGGGGUAACGGCUCACCUAGGCGACGAUCCCUAGCUGGUCUGAGAGGAUGACCAGCCACACUGGAACUGAGACACGGUCCAGACUCCUACGGGAGGCAGCAGUGGGGAAUAUUGCACAAUGGGCGCAAGCCUGAUGCAGCCAUGCCGCGUGUAUGAAGAAGGCCUUCGGGUUGUAAAGUACUUUCAGCGGGGAGGAAGGGAGUAAAGUUAAUACCUUUGCUCAUUGACGUUACCCGCAGAAGAAGCACCGGCUAACUCCGUGCCAGCAGCCGCGGUAAUACGGAGGGUGCAAGCGUUAAUCGGAAUUACUGGGCGUAAAGCGCACGCAGGCGGUUUGUUAAGUCAGAUGUGAAAUCCCCGGGCUCAACCUGGGAACUGCAUCUGAUACUGGCAAGCUUGAGUCUCGUAGAGGGGGGUAGAAUUCCAGGUGUAGCGGUGAAAUGCGUAGAGAUCUGGAGGAAUACCGGUGGCGAAGGCGG